rnacentral:rRNA from 1 species
CCUACGGGCGGCAGCAGUGAGGAAUAUUGGUCAAUGGACGAGCGCCUGAACCAGCCAAGUAGCGUGAAGGAUGACUGCCCUAUGGGUUGUAAACUUCUUUUAUAAAGGAAUAAAGCGAGGCACGUGUGCCUUUUUGAAUGUACUUUAUGAAUAAGGCUCGGCUAACCCCUGGCCAGCAGCCCCGGUAAUACGGAGGAUCCGAGCGUUAUCCGGAUUUAUUGGGUUUAAAGGGAGCGUAGAUGGGUUGUUAAGUCAGUUGUGAAAGUUUGCGGCUCAACCGUAAAAUUGCAAUUGAUACUGGCAGUCUUGAGUACAGGUGAGGUAGGCGGAAUUCGUGGUGUAGCGGUGAAAUGCUUAGAUAUCACGAAGAACCCCGAUUGCGAAGGCAGCUUACUAAACUGUGACUGACAUUGAUGCUCGAAAGUGUGGGUAUCAAACAGGAUUAGAUACCCUUGUAGUC